UUUUGAUUAAAUCGGAAUUUUACCCCCCUGUUUUAAAAUGCGGACUUUUACCCCCCCUGUUUUAUAAUUUGUUGGAUUUUGCCCCCCCUAAAAUUCUGCUUUCGAGUCACAACUUUAAAGCUUCGCACACAACUCAAUUUUGAUCAAUAAUUUACCAAAAGGAUACCGAAAUGACCGUAAUUGAGUUAUCUUUCCACAUAAUCAAACCACACUGAAUUUGGAGUUACAAAGAGAGAUUAAUUACCGUUUUAGUGAAGGUAUGUCCCCCAAAAUUCUGCAAAAAAUCUGCUUUCGAGUCACAACUUCAAAGCUUCGCAUACAACUCAAUUUGGAUCCAUANNNNNNNAGUUAUCUUUCCACAUAAUCAAACCCCACUGAAUUUGGAGUUACGAAGAGAGAUUAAUUACCGUUUUAGUGAAGGUAUGUCCCCAAAAUUCUGCAAAAAAUCUGCUUUCGAGUCACAACUUCAAAGCUUCGUAUACAACUCAAUUUAGAUCCAUAAUUCACCAAAUGGCUACCGAAAUGACCGUAAUCGAGUUAGCUUUUCACAAAAUCAAACCCCACUAAAUUUGGAGUUACAGAGAGAGAUUAAUUACCGUUUUAGUGAAGAUCUGUCCAAUUACUAAUUCUGCAGAAAUCUACUUGUGAUCUUCAAAUUCAACAUCGUCUACCGAACACAUCGUAACUUCAAAUUCGACGAAAUUGAAAUGCCAACAAGGGUAAUUUCGUUAGAUUUCCAUACAUGUAAAUAGUAUUAAAAAAUGAGCUACAGGGUGAGN
rnacentral:lncRNA from 1 species